GUAGGUGGCAAGCGUUGUCCGGAAUUAUUGGGCGUAAAGCGCGCGCAGGCGGUUCUUUAAGUCUGAUGUGAAAGCCCACGGGCUCAACCGUGGAGGGUCAUUGGAAACUGGAGAACUUGAGUACAGAAGAGGAAAGCGGAAUUCCACGUGUAGCGGUGAAAUGCGUAGGGAUGUGGAGGAACACCAGUGGCGAAGGCGGCUUUCUGGUCUGUAACUGACGCUGAGGCGCGAAAGCGUGGGGAGCAGACAGGAUUAGAUACCCUGGUAGUCCACGCCGUAAACGAUGAGUGCUAAGUGUUAGGGGGUUUCCGCCCCUUAGUGCUGCAGCUAACGCAUUAAGCACUCCGCCUGGGGAGUACGGCCGCAAGGCUG
rnacentral:rRNA from 1 species